UACGGGGGGGGUAAGCGUUGUUCGGAAUUACUGGGCGUAAAGGGCUCGUAGGCGGCCAACUAAGUCAUACGUGAAAUCCCUCAGCUUAACUGGGGAACUGCGUGUGAUACUGGAUGGCUGGAGUUUGGGAGAGGGAUGCGGAAUUCCAGGUGUAGCGGUGAAAUGCGUAGAUAUCUGGAGGAACACCGGUGGCGAAGGCGGCAUCCUGGACCAAUACUGACGCUGAGGAGCGAAAGCCAGGGGAGCAAACGGG
rnacentral:rRNA from 1 species